CCCCCGCCCAACACGCACCGCCCGCCGAGGCCGCCAAGCUGCCCGCAGCUGAGGGAGCCACACCUGUGGGCAGCGACAGCGACGCGGGGAAGGGAGAGGAGGGGCUGGGAAGCGAUCCCCAUGGGGGACGCGAGUUUCUGUGAUUUCUGCGUGUUGGCUGUUUUGGUCAGCAUAUGGAGACUGAAAUCUGCUUAUUUGAAGGAAAAAGGAUUGUGCGAAUUCCUAAUAAUUAUUCUAACAGCAACACAAAAGGAUCGAUGAAAAGACUGCUGUAUUGUUUCCGAUGUUGACCACGGCUACUUGACUUGAAGGGUGUGCGGAGAGAGGAAGCCUGGCUGUCUUUCCCUGGUGAGGCAGCCCCAUCUCUCACGCCUUGCAUCCUUCCUGCCAGCCCUGGGGCUUGAUUUACUGACCCACUGGGGGAAGAGGGUUUUCCUCCAGUCCUUUGCGGGAUUGUGUAAAAGCACCAUCUGGAGUGGCAAAAGUAUGCAAAAGGCUCCUUAGCGCAGCACAGGCUUAGGGAGACAAGUCCUCCGUAUGUCCUGUCAGGAGGUGCCUCCCGCCAUCUCAGUGAAAGCCGGGGGAAAGGAUGAGAGGAGUGACUGUCCCCGUUUGCUUUCUCUGCACAGGAGUAGCCGAUCCAGCACCCUUGACUUUCUUUCACACAGAUUGCCUUCUCUGUUGAAUGAACAGGACACAGCACGUCCUGUGCAAAUAGAAAGGCAUCAGAGCAAACAGGUCCCAUUCGAGAAACCCAGCAGCAGCACCUGGUGCCUGUUCACAAUCUGCAAACUCCAGGAACACCAUGAAACGGUGGAACAGACCGAGAAAGCAGUAUCGCUGCAGAUGCCUGCGGCUAAGAUGAUAUUUUCUUGCUGAGCCAAUUCUUGCCUUUCAUAUCAUUGAUGAACUAAUAGGCUUAACCCUCAUGAAAUAAUAAGCUCAGCAAGCGUGCUGUAAUGUUGAAAUCUGAAAAAUAAUUGAAACUUCAAAAUAUAGACUUCUAGGUAAAUGUUGAUCUGGUUACCUCCAGCUGCCUUCCCACAGUAAGUGCAUUCACUUGAUCAGACAAAAGCCUUGUGAAGCUGUCGUCACCCAGGACAAAUAACUCACCGCCAGACAUCCAGGGGCAUUUUGGAGUCUGCCUCUGACAUGCACCCCCCGUCACUGCCAAAUGGCCCUUCUGAGCAUCUUGGUGCUGAGACAGGGAAGCUCAGGCCUGAGACAUAACAUUACUGUGGUGUGCGGGAAGGUUCCUCCGUCCCAGCUUUGCCAGUCACCCUGCACCCUGCCCUCCUUCCCCCACUAACCCGCUCUGCUAAACCAGUUGUUUUGGAGUUUUCCCUGUGACAUCUGUUCCAGAAGAAGGAGUUUGAGAGAUAAGCUAAUUUGGUUACCAAUACUCAACCUUUGUUAGAGUGUACUGUGCUUUUCUGAAAAUACCCCUUCCCCACCUUCCAUCUUAAACAGGUAAAAAAAACCCUCAAUCUGUUUCAGGUUGAGGAACUGUCUGCCAAUACUGAAAAAUCCACCUUCAAGACAUCUGAGACAGGUUUUUUUCUGGCUCCUCAAUAAUUGUGAGAAUUUUUGAAAGCUGCAAUGAGGUGAGUUCCUGUUCUUGGCCAUAUUUGUCCAGCACUAUCAGUUGUACUCACACAUUAUUUCUACUGCCAGUCCAAGUAAAGCUUCUGCAUCGACAAAUGAUGUCUGAGUAGGUUUUUAUUAUUCAUAGUUUCUCUGUUCCAUUAGUGACAGUAUCAGGAAAUCUAGUAAGAGCGCAAAAGAUUAGAGACAUGGUGUAACCCCUUCCUUCUUUGUUUUGUUGAAAUACAUUUUCUUACAUUGAGGCAAAUGUAUAUUUUUACCCUCUUUCUUAAUGAAAACUGUAGUUUUACAACUUUUCUUUAUGUUACUAGAUCCAUUUUGUGAAUCCAUAAAUAAUUAUAUACUAGUGAUUUUACUGUGGGUUGUUGCAGAUACAGUAUUACUUUCAUUUCAGCUGUAAUUUAGCAACAUUCCUGCUUACUGCAUCUCCUGUUUAAGCCUCCUGUUUUCUCAGUUGUUACUGCUGUGGCAGCUGGGGUUCCAUCUCAAUUGCUUGGGGUUGUUUUCGCUGAGCUGAUGUUCCACAACAUGCCUCAUCUCUAAGAAAUAGAAAGAUGCUAUUUAUGUAUCUUUAUUAGUCUUCUUUGUACUCUUAGUGAACAAAAAGCCUGGAAAUCUUACCUUAAUGAAGUUAAGUGGAGUCAUUCUGUAACCCCUGCUGCUGGAUAAAAACACACCAAAAUAUGAAGAAGCGAUAACGUGACCUUUGCAGAGAUUUUCAAAUCACAUUGGGCUGAUACAGCUGAAAAUCAUCCCAAUUACUCAGCAAAACACACCCGUCUGCUUCUGUGCAAUUACUCCCAUCUUUAUUCUCUCCUUGUUGACUAUUUCCACUCUCUGUUCUUUUAACAUUUCAGUUAAGGUCUCAAGGACUUUAUCUUUGUACACCAACCAGACAGGUCUGAACACUCUUUUUUCAUUUCCUUCUUCCCCAAAUUAAAAACCUAUCCUACAACUUCAGCCAUCAACCUUUUUCAUAUUUUUCAAAAUAGUCCAGAAGGUGCCUACAUCAACACAAGUAACCAUAAUGCAGGAUGCCAUGUAAACCAGUGUUUCUUUGCCAAACCAUGAGUUUAUUGCGCUUUUCCCUUCUCCAGGAUCCUUGGGAAUGUUAAAUCGCCAUCCCCUGUCUUCACCUUCCCUGUGAAUCCUUUGGCUGCAACUACCAGAGGAGGGAAGGAGAUGCAAGUGGUGACAGCAACAAACCUUAAAUCAUUUAUUUCCUCUUAGUGAGGAAGAAGAGAGUGUGCAGCAAAUCAGAAGGUGUGAGCACUAUUUGCUCGUGCUGGUCUUGGUGCCUUCUGUGGGUGCUGUCGCUCCCCACCAACUGCAGGAAGAGUUGCUCUGGCAAAGCUACUGAUACAGAGAGAGAACCUCUCGUGAGGUCUGAAGUCAACUGGGGCACAAGUAUUAUAACUCCUUAAAAAUGCCAGGAAUUGUGAACUGACAUUGCGAGUCUCAACAACACUGUCCUUUUUUUGCAUCAUAUAAAACGAUGAUAUUAGACUCCUAAAUUUCACAGUACUGGUGUCAUUUAAAUCACAGUCCCAGUUCUCAUGUCUAUGCAAGGGUUAGGAUUAGGCUUGAAUAUUCAUACAAUAUUGUUCUUUUCACUAGGUUCAGUCCAAUUCGCUUUGCGCUGAAAUGUUUCCUUGUAAAACCACAAAUAAACCAAAGGAGUAUGAAAGACACAUAUAAAAGACACAGUAUGGUAACAUGAGAAACCAUGUUAAACCCUGUUUUUCUCUGUCAUCGUUUCCUUGAGAGUCUAAGCAAAUGAAAAACCUUUUCAAAAUGAAAAGAAAAAACCCACCUCAAGCACUCUUUCUCCUGCUAUUAUGUUUGAGCACUGUCCUCUAAAAAGCAAUACGUAUCUUAGGAUUUUACAAGCUUUUAGUUAUUUGGGAACAUAACUGAAUAAAUCAAGUUCUGAGUUUUCUGGCUUAGGUUUCACAAGACUUCACACUGGUGUUCCUAAGUGAAGUGUUACUGGUGAGAAGCUUUUGGGGCAUGUUGAGAAUAGCUCCUUUAAAAUAUUAUAGCAAUAUUAUUGCAAUUGUCACAUCAUGGUUGCCCUUCAGGAAGCUUUUACCCUUCUGGUCCCUGCAGCGGGUCUUUCCCUCAUGCUUUGAAAGUUUGUCACUCUUUCCUGCAAUAGUUGAUUCCCAUAGUAUUAAUCAGACUGUAAAAACAAGUCAGCUGUGGAAACAGAAGAAUAUAAACACAUUGACAUAGUUCACACACUUUUAAUUAGAGUAAAAUGACUGGCCUGGCUGCCUUUCUGGUUUCUCAACUGGCUCUGUGACCUGUCCAUGCUGGCAAGGCUGCCCUUCCAGAAAGGAAUAGCUGACUAGAACAAGGAUAUUAAGACAGAUUUUUGAAAAAAGAAAUGGUGUCAUCAUGGUCCAUUUUUAUAACUAUAUCACUGUACUGUUUAUAGGGAGUGAUGGAGGGCCUGGGAAAGAAAAUCCAAGCUGUUUGCAAUAAGCCAAGAUGAAUUUUAAAUGGUUUUGUAUCUCACAGUGUAAUUUUAUCUUGAGCAGAAUAUUUCAUGUAACACUCAUUCUUACUCUCUUUCUAAAAUUGCAUGUCCAACAUUUCUUAGAGAAGUGCAGUCAAGCCGAAGAUUCAUCUAGUGCAGUACCCUGUCCCAUGUUGUUACCAAAAGCAGACGGCUGGGGAAAAAUAUACAUGAUAGCUUUAAUAUCUGCUGAGCAUGUAGCUGUAUUUGGCUCCGUGUUUGUGAGCUGAUUGUGGUAUUUCUGUAUCUGUGUAUUUCUAGUCCAUGAAUACCCAAGUUCUUUUUGAAACUGUAUUAGCUCUUAUUUUCCACGCCAUCUGUUGGCAAGAACAUAGAAAGCUUUAAAGCUUCAAGCUCCCACAACUCGGUAGCUGAUAGAAAGCAUAGGGAGGUUGAAUUUUCAAAGUGGUUCAGAAAAGUCCGAUUUCCUAAACAACCACACCAUGCACUGUGCAGCAUAUUCUUGCUUCUAUACCACUUUCUGCAGUGUUGCUGAAAUUCUGCAGUAUAUUUUCUCUGUUACUAGAUCUACGGUUUUGUCUAUACAGUUACUUUCUGAUGAACAGAAGCGUGUUUCAUGGAUGAGAUUACAGCUCUUCUAGAAAGGUGAUUUCAGCCAGCUCUCAAAUAAUGGAUUAAAUCGAAAUCCUGGACUUUAAAGCUCUCUAGUGUUGGAGCUAAACAUCCAGGUUUUAUUUCUAUGUUGAGGACAAGCCUGAAGAUGGCAAAGAUUUAGCUGUAUACUUUAUAUCAACACUUUUGACAGAGCUAUUACAACAUUUUCUGCUCAGUUCAGGGUGGCUUCACGUGAAGCUUGCAACCUCCUAAUGAAUUCCAAAUGUAAUUUCAAUGCCUCAGGUUUAUAACACUGGUAGCUUAAGAAGUCAUUGCCCAACUACAGUUAACAGAAUUGAAUUUGGUCCUAAAUAAAGUAUGACCAUUAUAAAUUUGCAAAUCUCUUCAUGGAGUUGUUAAUCAGCUUACUACUAGCAUUCUUUAUCAGAUAACAAACUGAAGAUGCAAACUUUGAGGUAAGUCAGUAAAAUAUGCUUUAGAAAA